GCCAGCUUGGCACAGAGGUUUGAGCACUGGACUAUGACACUGGAUACAAGGGUUCGAAUCCCUGUUCAGCCA